rnacentral:rRNA from 1 species
GACGAACGCUGGCGGCGUGCUUAACACAUGCAAGUCGAACGGAAAGGCCCUGCUUUUGUGGGGUGCUCGAGUGGGGAACGGGUGAGUAACACGUUAUUAACCUGCCCUUGACUUUGGGAUAACUUCCGGAAACUGGGGCUAAUACCGGAUAGGAGCUCCUUCGUCUUGGUGGGGGUUGGAAAGUUUCGGCGGUUGGGGAUGGACUCGCGGCUUAUCAGCUUGUUGGUGGGGUAGUGGCUUACCAAGGCUUUGACGGGUAGCCGGCCUGAGAGGGUGACCGGCCACAUUGGGACUGAGAUACGGCCCAGACUCCUACGGGAGGCAGCAGUGGGGAAUAUUGCACAAUGGGCGGAAGCCUGAUGCAGCAACGCCGCGUGCGGGAUGACGGCCUUCGGGUUGUAAACCGCUUUCGCCUGUGACGAAGCGUGAGUGACGGUAAUGGGUAAAGAAGCACCGGCUAACUACGUG